UUUUACCAAAAAAUUAAGUGCAGAAAAAUCUUGAUAAUAGUUUUAAAAGUAAGCGAGGUUAGUACUAUUUCAAAAACUGCAAAAAAUGUGGCUAUAUUUUUCUAAAAUCUCAGAAUAGGUCAAUAAAACUUACCCAAUUCUAAAUGAUCGUUCCCCAUAUUAAGAGGAAAACAUUUUAUUUAUUUUUUGAGAGGUGGUCUUUUAGAGCCAAGAAAUGGAAUUCAAGGCUGUGCUUCGGUGCUUGAGAGUCGAGACUAAAGUUGUCAAUUGGGAUGGGCCGGCACUAGGGGUGCACACGGGUUGGUUCGGUUCGGGUAUGUGACAGAUUCGGAACCGACCCGACUAUUCACGGUUCCCUAUUUUUAGACCCGGAACCGAACCGAGAACCGAGGAGAACCGAAUCGAAUCGAACCACUCGGGUUCGGUUCAGUUCCUCGGUUCUCGAUUCGGUUCGGUUCUUUCUAAAAUUAAUAUAAACUUAGGUACAUAUCAAGUGUGUGCGAGUGCCUUGAGGUCUAUAAAACUCGGUCUAGCUUAGGUCUCGGGUUGGGUCUCGGUUAUCAGUUUGAUUCUCGGUUCGGUUCUCAGAUUGGGUCGGUUUGAUUCAGGUCUCGGCAAAAAAACUCAUGGACCCAAGAACCGACCUGAAUCGUACGGGUCUUCAUUUUUCAGACCCAUGAACCGACCCAAACCGACCCAAUGACGUCAGGUCGGGUCGGUUCUCAGGUUGAGCGGGUAUUUUGUGCACCCCUAGCCGGCACUGGCCUGGCACAACAUAAUUAUAAUGCUCACGAUACAGUGAUGGGGCAGGCAGGACCCCUAUUUUGGGAGCACAUGACAGGGUUAGUUGAAAAUUCAAAAUUUUUAGACAUUAAAUUUACUUCACGUUUAUAUUCCUAUAUUUGUAAUUAUUUUAUUUUAGAUUUUUAUUAUCUAUAAAAUGACUUUUUUAUUAAAUUUUAAUUGUAACAAAUGAAAAAAUUUAAUAAUUUAGCGAUUUUUCGUAUUGGAAUGUAGUUUCAAAACAUGGUUUCCAUUUAAGAAUGAUAAUUUUUUUUUUUUGGAUAGCUCAUAAUGAUAAAUUUAGCAAUCCAAAUCUAUUCUAAAUUUUUUCCUAUAUUUUUCUCUUAAAAGUUAUUUUUAGAAGGAAAAAUAACGAAUAAAACCAACUAAAGUAGAAUAAAGUUUCGAGGUGCCCAUAUAUUUAUGAAAAAAAGGGCCCCAUUGCUCCAAAAAUUGUGUUCUUAAAUGAUUAAUAUGAAAGUUGCUGUCACAUUUAGAAGUAUCUCACAUUCUAAAGUUUAAUAUUUAAAAUUUUAUUUACUACUUUAGUCACAUUACUAUCAUGAAAAAAUAAAAUAGUACUAAAAAAGAUGUGGAGACACUUGUAAGUUAAAAAAAAAAAGGGUAAAUUUCACUUAUCUCCUUUAAAGUUUCCAAUAAAUACAAGUUACCUUUCAUGCAGUUUUUGUUGAAGGUAUUCUCAAGAUUCCACAUGUAGCUAAUUUGUAUGAAAAAAUAACAACCUUUUCUUUAGAUUUAGGGAUUUCAAUUUUUUUUUCUCAAUACAUCAAUUAAAAUAAAUAAUUUUUUUUUCUCAAAACACAUUUUAUUCGUAUAAAACUACUUAUGUUUAUUUUUUUUAUCAAUAAGUAAUUAUUAAAAAACACAAAAUAAUUGAUCUGAAUGUUACUUUUAAGUACUCUUAUCAACUGGUACUUAAAAAAAAAUUUUUUUUUUUAUUAUCAAUAAAGGAAUUUUUUUAGAAAAAAUGAUCUAGAUAUUUAAUUUUUUAAGGCAUCCUAAUUAGCUACUUAAAAAAUAAGUUUUAUUACAAUUUUGUGUUUUAAUAAAAAAGAUAAAUUUAUUUAUUUAAUAAGUGUAUGAGAAAAAAAUAUUAAGGACCAUCCGUGCUAUUGUUUCAAAGAACAACUCUACGGGGAUCUUGAUCAUAGAUUUCCAAUGUAAAUGAGGUUAGUUUAUUUUAAAAACUACAGAAUGUGGCCAUAGUUACGAAAAAACAUUCAGUAGCUGUGAAAUUUAUCGAAACAUUUAAAAGAAGUAAAUUUAAGAAAAUAUCAAUUAAACACUUGUACUUUUAAUUUCAUCGACAUAUAGACCAUUGAAGUCAACUUUAGUUACUUUGAUUUAUUUUUUUUUUCUUCUUUUUUGUACUGAGAACACUUUCUUAAAGUGGGGGGGGGUUGGUUAGGGGUUUGUUUUUUUGGGUUUUUUGGCGUUGUUUGGGGGCAGGGGGUGUUUAGGGUCCAACUGGCUUGGUUUAUGUAUCAUGGAUACUAAGGCUUACGAUUUUGUUUUGCUUAUAAGUAAAUGUAUCUUCUUUUUUGGGGUACUUACCUCCAUGGGAUGUAUGAUACACUGGUAGACUAAACAUGUGUUAUCGUAAUUUGAUCUUCGUUAAAAUUGGUCACGAGAUUAUAGUCUUUCAUGAACUGCAUUCAAAACUUUCUAUUACGUUCUUGAAAUUUUGGAGAGCGAA
rnacentral:lncRNA from 1 species